rnacentral:rRNA from 1 species
AGUGAACGCUGGCGGUAGGCCUAACACAUACAAGUCGAACGGCAGCACAGAGGAGCUUGCUCCUUGGGUGGCGAGUGGCGGACGGGUGAGGAAUACAUCGGAAUCUACUCUGUCGUGGGGGAUAACGUAGGGAAACUUACGCUAAUACCGCAUACGACCUACGGGUGAAAGCAGGGGAUCUUCGGACCUUGCGCGAUUGAAUGAGCCGAUGUCGGAUUAGCUAGUUGGCGGGGUAAAGGCCCACCAAGGCGACGAUCCGUAGCUGGUCUGAGAGGAUGAUGAGCCAAACGGGAACUGAGACACGGUCCAGACUCCUACGGGAGGCAGCAGUGGGGAAUAUUGGACAAUGGGCGCAAGCCUGAUCCAGCCAUACCGCGUGGGUGAAGAAGGCCUUCGGGUUGUAAAGCCCUUUUGUUGGGAAAGAAAUCCAUCUGGUUAAUACCCGGGUGGGAUGACGGUACCCAAAGAAUAAGCACCGGCUAACUUCGUGCCAGCCGCCGCCGUAA